UAAGAUAAAAAGUAUAUACGUAAACUUUUGGGCGAGAUGGUAGAACGAUGGAAAUGCCUGUGGAGUCGUCUGGAAAAUUACUCGUAAAGUAAAGUCCUUCAGGUGAUUUAUGAGGAUCGAGAGAAGAGAAAGAGAGAGGACCGAGUCAGUUAUGUCUAUAUGCAUAAAAGAGUCAGAAGAGACUUUACCAAGCUUGAAAAUGUGGAGAGUGUCAAAGAAGAUCCCGGUGGUCGCUAUGUUUGUGGUCUGGUCUCUUUCGGUUUGCUUUGUCAACUACAGGGAGAGUCGUAAAGGGAGACUGGAACCAACCAGCCAACCAGCCCAUACUUUCAUACCUUCUCAGUCAGUCUUUUUCCUGUCUAAAAGAAAUACCAAGUGCGUCUUCAAUGUGGCAUAAAGAGGAGGGAUAGCCCGGAGGACCUUUGACCCUGGUGGGCCUUAAAAAAUUUCCUUUAUACCUUAACGCUGCCUCGGAGCAUUUUUAUAGUGGGUAGAUACAAUCCUUCAAGUACCAACUCACGGAGCUUGAGGAUUCGUAUACGGUUUAUUAGUCUUCUUAAAAUUCAUUAUGCAUUGGCUCAAUUAUAUCUGAUCAUCGUCUAAACAUAGUACAGACGCAAUCCUUGACCUUUACUACAGUCAGUCCAAGAAAUCAAUUGAAUGAGUCUCCCUCUAUACGUUUCAUAGAAAUGUAUCAAAACGACUCACUCGCUGUCAGUGAGUAAAUGGAGAAAGUCAAACUCGUGGAAAUGACAGACAGCGUCGAGGAUCUAAGAUCGAUCCCCUUUCUUACAAGCAACUUGCAUUACCGAACAGUGACGAAGAUGAAAAAUUGGAGGUCGUUCGCGCGUGACGCUUCGACGAUUUCUACAGAGUGACUGUCAUCUGGAUUGCGUAUUAAGUGCAAAUCGAUUCGGGACCUGCGAAAAUCCUGGGAUAAAUUAACCCACAACGUGCUAAGAGUAACUUUAAUUUCAAACAAAAAUUCUUUUUCACAGGAACAUACGUGCCAUUUCCACUCAAGGAUAACAAAAUAAUUGAAGUAAGCGACCGCACGAAUAUUUCUUCUGGUGGAAAUGAAGAAAACAAAAUUUGACAAAUUUUUGCUGGAAUUUAAAAAAAAAGUCAUCUUCAUGCUGAGACUUCUAAGGACACUCGAGCGUCCCACAAGGAUAUCCUGGCCAAGAAGUGUAAGAGGAGCAGCAGUGUAAGUGGAUGAAGAAGCUGGUGUACGAGGUUAAAGAAAAGAGCAGAUCGGCGAGGUAGCAGGGGAAUAGAAGUAAGAGGAGUGAAGAAGAUGGAAGACGACGAAGGAUAAGUAGGAGAACAUAAGAGAGAAUACCAGAAGAAGAGAGUGCCUUGCCGUAGGCGGUCAGUGGCCUCUGCACUGGCUACCACACGAGACCAAGAACUCCUCAUCGGUGCCCCACUCUCGCCUGCCUUCCUUCCACGACUGGUCCCUAGGGAAUAAUAAUGGGAAUUAUGCUAAAGGCGUUCUUUCAUAAAAACUUGCCCUUUCGCCUUCUUCUUUUAUUUUAUUUCUUUCUCUUUCACAGAUAUAUCAUACCGAACGCCGAUAUGGCUACUUUCGUAAUAAUUCCUACACGCGUGACUUUCCUUCUCUCAUCCACACUGUGUCGUCACAUUAAGGAGAAUACGUAUGGGGCCUAGUACCGAUAUCCAUAUGCAUGAGGUAUAUGCGUCUAGUAUUCCAGGGCGUUGUUCUAGUCUCUUUGGAAACUUAUGUAAUUCAGAAAUCCUACGACCAUUAAAUGGAUAUCUGAGCUGGAUUCGAAGUUAAUAGGGAUUUGGUAAAGUCCUUUUCUAUCUAGAGGAAAUUAAUUUGUGAAGAGAGAGAGAGAGAGAAGAGAGGUGAAAUGCUCUGGUGAAACUUGGCGAAUUCUCACGGAUGAUAUUGUCGCCUCCGUUACAAAGAUGGCAAAGUAUCAGAGGUGAAAUCAUGUAAAAGCAACGUUAAAGUUGAGAACAACUGUUUCAUACGAUUUACGGGAGUCCCGUGAAACUCUGUGCUACCAAACGGAAAUCUUAACUGGUGCAACAAACUCCAAGGCGCUAGACUGGGAAUAAAAAAGAAAGGUCCGAAAAGAAGGAAGCAAAGUAUUGUCUUGCGAGAUAAAUAAAAGAAAAAGGAAUUAACUUCGUUCUUCAGGACCAACCGAAUGUCUCGAGCCAACUGUGAGAGAUCACGCAAUGGUCAUUUUAUUUUGGUUCUUGUACAUCGAUACCGGUACACCUGUACAAUCAAGAUGGAUAAUUUAAGGUGCGUGCAGGCCUCUAAUGACUUCCUGAGAUUUCGUGAGGAUUUGUGAAUGAAAAAGUUAUGUAAAAAAAAAAAAAUUACAAAAUUCUUAUACCCACGCAAACGCUGAUAUAACGAAAAAGUGUACCAGGUCUUGGCUGCUGGAUUUUCCAAAAUCCAAAUUCAGAAUAUCGUACCUGUACAAGUGUAUCAGGUGCUUAAAUAAGUACAGAAGGGACAUACAAGAUACAAACGUGUACGAUGGUAAUGAAGAUGAUGGUUGUAGAAUGUAAGGAAAAAGGAGGAAGGGCAUCCGGUCGACGAGAAAGAGCAUUCAGACACGUAUGCACGCCAUCCUCGUAGAAGGGCACCAAGUGCCCAAGUACCAGUGAGCCAAGUAAGAGGCGACAAAGCUAAGGUGCUCUAAGUAAUUACGGAGGACAGUGAGUAUCUCGCGAAACCAAGUAAAUACUAAGAACACUGGUUUAACGGAAGUUCCUGACUUUUCAUGAGGUAGUCACUUUUCCGUAACGUCUACAGGUAUCUUGUCCAGGAUAUCAUGGUUGCCACGGACAACCCAAGAUCCCUAUACAGACGAAUAGAAAGGACCAACCACUUGUAAAAGUAUCUGACGAUUUAAAUAUUUCAACUCCAGUCUCUUUAUCCCUACGUGUGGUUAACGAGAGUGUCCACGUACACGUAGCUGCAAUGGACGCUAAACUCACGUCGUCCUCAACGUUGACUCCAAGCCAUCGCUUCCUGCGCUGGCAGCCGGACGACGGGCCAUGUACUGAAGGGAGAGCAGGUACGAGUCUGGCACUAGGGAACAGAAGGGAAAGAGAGAUAGAUAUAGAGGCAGAGAGAAAGAGAAAGGCAGGCAGGCCUUAAAGUGUGCAGAGGGCCCUAUAGAAUAGUUAGAGUGGAACUAGAGGCCAAUACGGGGGAACUGCUCUCGAAGAACUGGAAGAAGAAGGACAGGCAAAGGCCCUUGUCCUCCAUUGUACCACGUUUGAGCUGACGCCAGUGAUAGAUACCUUUCCUGGCAUACACCUAGUAACUACCACUGCUAUCAUCUUCUACACCCAUAGCCUGUGAUACCGUCAUAGUGCCUUUUACAAGUGUACACUUUUGUCCUGGGUAUAAACGUGCACGGUUUUAUAGAAAAGAUUGACAUUAAAGCCUUCAAGCACUGGACGGUUCGGGUUAUCGAGCCAAACUGGAGUAUAUGAAAAAAAAAAUCGUUGGCCCCUUUUUCAAAUAUUCACAAGCAUGGCCUCAUCAUCCUUUUUGUUUUCUUCUUUUAGCAAAAUUACUUUCCCAUGCAAAGUCAUUACCUAUGUGAAUAUUACAUGAAGAGGUACCAUUAUCACUUCAGAAACUGACAUGCCAUUAUUGCAAAUACAUACUGGACCUGGGUAUGUCGUGUAUUUUAUUUUUGUUUUUAUUUCACAGUAAUUAUCUGUUACAGAGAUAUCGUACAAGGAUGUUAAUCGAGAAGCGGAUAGGUCGCUGGUAUUGUUUACCAAGGAAAAAGAAUAAUGGUCCGCUCGAAGAAGCUGUUUAAGUAGUUUAUAAUUCUGCGUCCGCGAAGGUGGUGCAGUGCGGUAUGAUUGAAGGGUUGAACCUAAGGAUCAUUGGAACACGAGAGAACAAGUGCCAGUCGUUAAUAAUAAAAGGCAGGAGUCGUGAUGUGUGGAUGCACACGCGACGGCACGUGCUCUGGACCACUCUUCAAUCUCAUUCUCUAGUGCUAUCUCUCCCUCUUGCUCCAUUAUGCUCCGUCUCUCUUGAUCUGGCGCACACGACUCUCUCGUAGUCAUGUAACCGAGAUGGGAGGUCAACGCUUUAACUUCGUUCACACAAUUGGGACGGAUUAACCUCGUAAUAAAUCCUUAUUAGGAUGGCUCGCACGCCCUUGUCACUCUGUGAGACUCGGUUGGCUGGCUCAUGCAGAUUUUAGCGACGCUUUCUAACAGUUAUCGAAUUUACUACGGUUAUAUCUAUGAUUAGGAUAGCAGUGUUGGAUGAUGGUUAAUGAUGAUGACUCGCAUUAUGAAUUUGUACUGUCAGCGUCCUGGAGCAUAGUGGGAAAUGGGCGGAACGCUUCCAGAAGAGUGUACUCAGGAAUUUUAUGCUGCUGUGGGAAUGGGAUGUGAUGCCGUUGCCUUCUGAUGUGUGUGUAUACUAUGACGUUAUGGUCCAGGAAAGUUGAAACC